ACAAUUGUUCACAUAACAACUGAAUUAUAACUUCCUAAUAAUUUAUCUCUAUAUAGAAUAUAAUUAUUGUAUAAUUGUUCAUUUUUGUGCAUAUAUGUAUAAGUGAAUUGGUGUUCAUUUUUGUGCAGAUAUGUGUAGAUGAAUUCAUAUCUAUCUUUCAAUGAAUGGUAGUCUUACAAGGUUAUAUUUCUACCAACAUCUUUACUGUUUUCAGGGACACCAAGCUUGCUUUACAAAGUACAAAGGAUGUCUUGAACAUUGUUGUGCAUGAUUUGGGAUUGCUAGCAUUUUCUUCCUAUUGCUAUGUUAAGCCAAAUAUAGAUAUUAUGUAUUUUGUUUUUGAGGGAUCUAUUGUGUCUUAUUUUCCUUCAAAAACUGUUGUUUUUUGGCCUAUUAAUAUAUUCAAUUGGGCAUUCAAAAAAAUGUUGAUUUUUAGCCCAAUAAUCUAUUCAAUUGGGCAUGUAGUUCAGUAAUUGAUACUUGACAAUUGUAGUGGAUCAGUGGAUGCAUGAUAUGAAUGUAAUGAUGACUUUAUUAGUUA